UACGGGGGGGGUAAGCGUUGUUCGGAAUUACUGGGCGUAAAGGGCUCGUAGGCGGCCAACUAAGUCAUACGUGAAAUCCCUCAGCUUAACUGGGGAACUGCGUGUGAUACUGGAUGGCUUGGAUUUGGGAGAGGGAUGCGGAAUUCCAGGUGUAGCGGUGAAAUGCGUAGAUAUCUGGAGGAACACCGGUGGCGAAGGCGGCAUCCUGGACCGGUAUUGACGCUGAGGAGCGAAAGCCAGGGGAGCAAACGGG
rnacentral:rRNA from 1 species